UACGAAGGGAGCUAGCGUUGUUCGGAAUCACUGGGCGUAAAGCGCACGUAGGCGGACUUGUCAGUCAGGGGUGAAAUCCCGGGGCUCAACCUCGGAACUGCCUCUGAUACAGCAAGUCUCGAGUCCGGAAGAGGUGGGUGGAAUUCCUAGUGUAGAGGUGAAAUUCGUAGAUAUUAGGAAGAACACCGAUGGCGAAGGCAGCUCGCUGGGACGGUACUGACGCUGAGGCGCGAAAGCGUGGGGAGCGAACAGG
rnacentral:rRNA from 1 species